ACUCCUACGGGAGGCAGCAGUGGGAAUAUUGCACAAUGGGGAAGCCCAUCGAUGCAGCCAUGCCCGCGCUGUGUGAAGAAGGCCAAUUCGGGGCUUUGGUUAAAGACACUUUUCAGUAGGGAGGAAGGUAGUGUAGUUAACACCUGCACUAUUUGACGUUACCUACAGAAGAAGCACCGGCUAACUCCGUGCCAGCAGCCGCGGUAAUACGGAGGGUGCGAGCGUUAAUCGGAAUUACUGGGCGUAAAGCGCAUGCAGGCGGCCUGUUAAGUCAGAUGUGAAAGCCCGGGC
rnacentral:rRNA from 1 species